GUAAACGGCAAUAAUGUUCAGCAAAGUAAGAUUUACAAAUAAGUCAACAUGACCAAAAUGGUCAGUUGACCCCUUUAGGAGUUAUUGACCUUUAUAGUCAAUUUUUAACCAUUUUUCGUAAAUCUUAGUAAUCUUUUACAAAAAUCUUCUCCUCUGAAACUACUGGGCCAAAUUAAUCCAAACUUGGCCACAAUCAUCUUUGGGAUAUCUAGUUUAAAAAAUGUGUGGCGUGACC
rnacentral:lncRNA from 1 species